rnacentral:rRNA from 1 species
UUACGCUGUUAUCCCUAAGGUAACUUAGUCUAAUAAUCAAUAAUAAUGGAUCAGUUAUUCAUAAAUCAAUGUUAAAUAAAUAAAAAAGUUAUACUUAUAUUUUUGUCACCCCAACAAAACAUAAGUUAAUAUAAAAUAUUAAUAUAAAAACAAUUAAACUAACAUAUGUAAAGAUCUAUAGGGUCUUCUCGUCUUCCAAUAAAAUUUUAGCUUUUUAACUAAAAAAUUAAAUUUUAAAACAUAUAAAAUGAGACAGUCAGUUCCUCGUUAAACCUUUCAUUCCAGCCCUCUAUUAAAAGACUAAUGAUUAUGCUACCUUUGCACGGUCAAUAUACCGCGGCCGUUAAAUUCAUCACUGGGCAGGUCAGACCUUCAAUUAAAUUCAAAAGGACAUGUUUUUGAUAAACAGGCG